ACUAAUUACAUAGAGUUUGUUGUGUUGUCCGUUGUAUUCGUACAAUUUGUACUGUUUUUGAUACUUACCUUCGAGGAAACACCAUAAUUAUGUUUCAAGUUAGUUGCUAUUGGUUCUUUUUUCCUAUCUUUCUAUUGGUCAAUUGCAGUGAUUCUUCUAACGUGAUUGGUGUAAAUUUCGAUCCGUUUCUUCUCUGCAUGCUUGAGUCUGUCUGCUCUUUAAUUUCAAGAACUGAAAUACGUAAACAAAUAAAUAUUAUGUAUACUAAUUUACAGAAAAAAAUUGAUAUCUGUUUUAAUUGCUAAAGAUACUUUAACAUUUUUAAAUCUUAGUAUUAUGAAGGUCUAAUUAAUAUCUCUAUUUUACCGUAAAAUUUUCAUGAUGAUGCAUUWUAUCUGGCGAUUGUAAAACAUGCUAGUACGCAUAUUUAUUUUCUGUACUUACUUCUUGUAAAUUUCUUAGCAACGUUGAUUGAUGGUAUUUCAAGUAAUAUUAUGUUCUCCAAGCGUGACUUACCUAUCGGCACUUGAUGUGCUUCCACGUUUUCAUUGGYCYAUGUCCGGCCAAUCACAUGCACAAUUCUUGAUUCUGUGAUGAUCAAGAUGGCGACCGAGAAGUGUUCAUUCGAUUUUUCUUUAUUAUUUGGAUAUAGAUUACGUAUUAUUUGAGUCUGCUGUUGCUUGGGUUUGAAAGGUAAAAGCUAACGAGAAMUUCAAGAGUGUCAGUCUGGUCAUAGGACAUUUUACUUUCUGAACUGCACAGGCAUCCAGAAACUGGAUGAAGUUAUUGGUAAAUAUGAUUUUUCCAGGUCUAAUCUUUUCAGAGAAAAGGAACAGAAUUAUUUUCUAUAGAAAAUUGGAAUAUUUUUGAAUAGUGUUAAUUUAAAGCUUAUACACAAUCAAAAUUAUCAAAAUUUAAUAUAUAGAUGACAGAACAAUGCUUAGCUAUCUGUCUUUAUACUUUUGUCACUUUUCCCAUCUUAUCAAUAUCAAUGUAUCAUUUAUAUCUUUGCUGUUAGCUUUGCCCAGGAGUUUACUUAAAUAAAAAUUUGAGAAUUCAUGAGUUCUU